rnacentral:rRNA from 1 species
GUGCCAGCGCGCCGCGAGUAUGCUGCCAGCACCAGGUUGUGCGACAUCUGAUAGAGGGUGAGGGAGGUGACGAGGAAGAAGCGGUCGAGCAGCAGGUCGUCAGGCCGCUCCUUGACCACCAGAACCACCCGUCGCGGCUUGUCCCAGCUGUCGGCCUGAUACUGGAAGGCGUGGGUCCAGAUGCGUGGCUGUCAGGCCGGCGGCCUCGGGGCCGCUUCAUGUACGGGGGCCGCCAUGCGGUCGAGGACCGGGUUGGCCCGCAGCCGGGCGACAAAGUCGAUCCCCCGUGCGUCAAGGCCCGCCAGCAAACCCGCCGAGGGAAAGCCCGCGUCCAUGCGGAUCAUCGCGACCUUGCAAAGGUCCGCCGCCUGCGCACGGUCGACGACAUCGAGGAUCACGUCAGCGCGCCGUCGGCGGUGCCGACAUUGCCCGGCCGCAGGCGGGCAUCCAGCAUGUCGCCGGUCUCGGCGAUGGAGGUGACCAGCGGAUGGUAGAUGCGAGCAUAUAGUGACCGUCCACUCGGCCUUCGGCUGGUGGCCAUGAACCUCGAUGGGCAGACUGUCGACAUCCAGCGUGACCCGCGGCAACCGACGCCCGCCAUCAGCGCGCGCAGACCGCGGGCGGCGAAUCCACGACGCCCUCUCGCAAAC